rnacentral:tRNA from 1 species
GCCACGGUGGUCUAGCGGUUAGAACGCUGGCCUUGUGAUCCUGGAGUCUCGGGUUCGAUUCCCGGCGGUGCCC